rnacentral:rRNA from 1 species
AACGUAGGUCACGAGCGUUGUCCGGAAUUACUGGGUGUAAAGGGAGCGCAGGCGGGCGAUCAAGUUGGAAGUGAAAUCCAUGGGCUCAACCCAUGAACUGCUUUCAAAACUGGUCGUCUUGAGUAGUGCAGAGGUAGGCGGAAUUCCCGGUGUAGCGGUGGAAUGCGUAGAUAUCGGGAGGAACACCAGUGGCGAAAGCGGCCUACUGGGCACCAACUGACGCUGAGGCUCGAAAGUGUGGGUAGCAAACAGG